CGAGGGGCAGCGCUGGGUGGCAACACCCUGGCGGCGACCGGCGGAAGGGUGCGUAACACGUGAGCAACUUGCCCGUAUCCGGGACAUAACCGGCGGAAACGCCGACUAAUUUCCCAUAACAGCGCAGGCCGCAUGGCCCGCGUUUGAAAGACACGUCGGAUGCGGAUGGGCUCGCGGGACAUUAGCUGGUUGGAGUGGUAACGGCACACCAAGGCUACGAUGUCUAGGGGUUCUGAGAGGAAGGUCCCCCACACUGGAACUGAGACACGGUCCAGACUCCUACGGGAGGCAGCAGUGAGGAAUAUUGGUCAAUGGGCGGAAGCCUGAACCAGCCAUGCCGCGUGAAGGAAUGAGGCCCUACGGGUCGUGAACUUCUUUUGUGGCGGAGCAAUAAGGGCCACGUGUGGUCCGACGAGAGUACGUCACGAAUAAGCACCGGCUAACUCCGUGCCAGCAGCCGCGGUAAUACGGAGGGUGCAAGCGUUAUCCGGAUUUAUUGGGUUUAAAGGGUGCGUAGGCUGUCCGACAAGUCAGGGGUGAAAUCCCGGCGUCCAACGCCGGAACCGCCCUUGAUACUGCCCGGGCUGGAAUGCGGAUGCCGUGGGAGGAGUGAGUAGUGUAGCGGUGAAAUGCAUAGAUAUUACUCAGAACACCGAUUGCGAAGGCAUCUCACGAAUCCGCCAUUGACGCUGAGGCACGAAAGCGUGGGUAGCGAACAGGAUUAGAUACCCUGGUAGUCCACGCAGUAAACGAUGAUGACUAACCGUCGGCGAUACACUGCCGGUGGCCAAGCGAAAGCGAUAAGUCAUCCACCUGGGGAGUACGUUCGCAAGAAUGAAACUCAAAGGAAUUGACGGGGGCCCGCACAAGCGGAGGAACAUGUGGUUUAAUUCGAUGAUACGCGAGGAACCUUACCCGGGCUCGAACGGCAGCUGAACGAGGCGGAGACGCCGAGGCCCUCCGGGGCGGCUGUCGAGGUGCUGCAUGGUUGUCGUCAGCUCGUGUCGUGAGAUGUUGGCUUAAGUGCCAUAACGAGCGCAACCCUUGCCGCCAGUUACCAUCAAGUGAAGUUGGGGACUCUGG
rnacentral:rRNA from 1 species